rnacentral:rRNA from 1 species
AUACGUAGGGGGCGAGCGUUGUCCGGAAUGAUUGGGCGUAAAGGGCGCGUAGGCGGCCUGUUAAGUCUGGAGUGAAAGUCCUGUUUUCAAGAUGGGAAUUGCUUUGGAUACUGAUGGGCUUGAGUGCAGGAGAGGUUAUCGGAAUUCCCGGUGUAGCGGUGAAAUGCGUAGAGAUCGGGAGGAACACCAGUGGCGAAGGCGGGUAACUGGACUGCAACUGACGCUGAGGCGCGAAAGUGUGGGGAGCAAACAGGAUUAGAUACCCUGGUAGUCCACACCGUAAACGAUGAAUGCUAGGUGUAAGAGGUAUCGACCCCUUUUGUGCCGGAGUUAACACAAUAAGCAUUCCGCCUGGGGAGUACGGCCGCAAGGUUGAAACUCAAAUGAAUUGACGGGG